rnacentral:sRNA from 1 species
AGGAGUUAGAUUAGAUAACGUUGGUGAAUUUACGUCUCAAGCAUUCAAUGAUUAUUACAUGGUAACAAGAAAAAAUGUCGAACAUCCUGCACCCCAUGUCCAUAGUCAUUCGAGGGAGAGCUUGUAUGAUUAUACUUUUUUACCUUACUGUGGUUUCUACCAAUGGAUUUUAUUAGAAAAGUUUUAACGAGACAACAUGAAAGAUAUCGCAAAGAGAUAAAUGACAAAUGAACUCUGGACGAGAAGAAUGUUGCAAAAAUUAAAGAAAUAUUUACAUAUUAAGUCCAUUUGCAUUUUAUCUAUA